CCUAAUACAUGCAAGUCGAACGCUUCUUUUUCCACCGGGAGCUUGCUCCACCGGAAAAAGAAGAGUGGCGAACGGGUGAGUAACACGUGGGUAACCUGCCCAUCAGAAGGGGAUAACACUUGGAAACAGGUGCUAAUACCGUAUAACAAUCAAAACCGCAUGGUUUUGAUUUGAAAGGCGCUUUCGGGUGUCGCUGAUGGAUGGACCCGCGGUGCAUUAGCUAGUUGGUGAGGUAACGGCUCACCAAGGCCACGAUGCAUAGCCGACCUGAGAGGGUGAUCGGCCACAUUGGGACUGAGACACGGCCCAAACUCCUACGGGAGGCAGCAGUAGGGAAUCUUCGGCAAUGGACGAAAGUCUGACCGAGCAACGCCGCGUGAGUGAAGAAGGUUUUCGGAUCGUAAAACUCUGUUGUUAGAGAAGAACAAGGAUGAGAGUAACUGUUCAUCCCUUGACGGUAUCUAACCAGAAAGCCACGGCUAACUACGUGCCAGCAGCCGCGGUAAUACGUAGGUGGCAAGCGUUGUCCGGAUUUAUUGGGCGUAAAGCGAGCGCAGGCGGUUUCUUAAGUCUGAUGUGAAAGCCCCCGGCUCAACCGGGGAGGGUCAUUGGAAACUGGGAGACUUGAGUGCAGAAGAGGAGAGUGGAAUUCCAUGUGUAGCGGUGAAAUGCGUAGAUAUAUGGAGGAACACCAGUGGCGAAGGCGGCUCUCUGGUCU
rnacentral:rRNA from 1 species